AUAGUAUAUAUAAUGAUAUAGUUAUAUCAUGUAAUCAUGCACAAACUGAAUCUGACUUGACUUUAAGCACAUUAUUGGGACCAUCUCUGAGGAAAGCUAGCUGAGAUGUUGAUACAGCAAGAGGGAAGACAUUGAUGAUUUCAA